CGCUAUAGCUCAGCUGGUAGAGCAACUGAUUUGUAAUCAGUAGGUCCCGAGUUCGACUCUUGGUGGCG
rnacentral:tRNA from 1 species